CCUACGGGACGCAGCAGUGAGGAAUAUUGGUCAAUGGGAGAGAUCCUGAACCAGCCAAGCCGCGUGAGGGAAGACGGCCCUAUGGGUUGUAAACCUCUUUUGUCGGAGAACAACAACCGCGACGUGUCCCGGCCUGCGUGUAUCCGAUGAAAAAGCAUCGGCUAACUCCGUGCCAGCAGCCGCGGUAAUACGGAGGAUGCGAGCGUUAUCCGGAUUUAUUGGGUUUAAAGGGUGCGUAGGCGGUCUGUUAAGUCAGCGGUAAAAUUUAGGGGCUUAACUCCUACGAGGCGUUGGAACUGGCAGAG
rnacentral:rRNA from 1 species